rnacentral:rRNA from 1 species
AGUGAACGCUGGCGGCAGGCCUAAUACAUGCAAGUCGAACGGCAGCACAGUGGAGCUUGCUCCAUGGGUGGCGAGUGGCGGACGGGUGAGGAAUACAUGGGAAUCUGCCCAGUCGUGGGGGAUAACGUAUGGAAACGUACGCUAAUACCGCAUGCGCCCUUCGGGGGAAAGUCGGGGACCGCAAGGCCUGACGCGAUUGGAUGAGCCCAUGUUCGAUUAGCUAGUUGGCGGGGUAACGGCCCACCAAGGCGACGAUCGAUAGCUGGUCUGAGAGGAUGAUCAGCCACACUGGAACUGAGACACGGUCCAGACUCCUACGGGAGGCAGCAGUAGGGAAUAUUGGACAAUGGGCGCAAGCCUGAUCCAGCCAUGCCGCGUGAGUGAAGAAGGCCCUCGGGUUGUAAAGCUCUUUGUUGGG